ACACUGCUGAAGAGUCCCAUACUAGGACGAAACGGCCGUCCAGUGC
rfam:Schistosoma mattheei strain Denwood, Zambia genome assembly, scaffold: SMTD_scaffold0000048